rnacentral:misc_RNA from 1 species
AACGCACAUUGCGCCCGCCAGUAUUCUGGCGGGCAUGCCUGUUCGAGCGUCAUUUCAACCAUCAAGCCCCGCGCUUGUGUUGGGGACCUGCGGCUGCCGCAGGCCCUGAAAACCAGUGGCGGGCUCGCUGUCACACCGAGCGUAGUAGAUUUCUCAUCUCGCUCAGGGCGUGCUGCGGGUUCCGGCCGUAAAAAAGCCUUAUUUUACCCAAGGUUGACCUCGGAUCAGGUAGGAAGACCCGCUGAACUUAA